CCACUUCCACUCUCCAAAGGGAUCGGCACAGCCCCGUCCAAGCUGGAGUCCUCCUGAGCCUGGAAAUCAUCCAUGAUAAAAAAGAGAAGUCCAACAUCCCGCUGGCACUCCUCUUCCUCCCAGUGAGCACGCAGAUACUCCUUCACAUUGUCUUUGAUGUAAGGGAACAAGGUCUCCUGGCAGCACACAAGAAAAACAGGCAGCUCCUUUAACGUGGCAGAGCAGGAGACCCGAGCCUGCCUGUGCACAGCUCCCAUCUCUCUGGGACCACACCGUCAGAUGGCCAGGCUCCUCGGAGACGUCCAGCCCCAGAUGUGGCUGCCCCAACACAGCUUGGCAGGAUGGAGAAACAGCCGUCAGCAAACACAGCUCGACAGCCCUCCUAAGCCUUUGCAACUGCUCACAGCAACGUUAAACCCAGCAUAGAAAGGGUAGUAUUUUUACUGUCAGUAGACACCCACGUAGCACGCUUAGCACUUGUAGGGUCAAUUUUCCUCUCAAUGUCCAUGCAAACUGUCACAAAGUUCAGUGACAAUCUGCUCUUUUACAGGAGAUCUGACAAAU